AUUCCCGAUAGGCGAGGGACGCUGGGAUGCUUCCUCGCCCAAAGCUCCGGCGCCCAGGGAUGGGACUGCGGUCUAUCAGGCUGUUGGUGGUGUAACGGACCACCAAACCUACGACGGGUACAGGCGAUGGGAGUCGGAGCCUGGAGAUGGGGACUGAGACAAGGCCCCAGGCCCUACGGGGCGCAGCAGGCGCGAAAACUCCGCAAUGCGCGUAAGCGUGACGGGGGGACCCCAAGUGCCGUUGGUCUUUUGAUCGACGGCUUUUAGGAAGUCUAUGAAGCUUCCAGAAUAAGGGCUGGGUAAGACUGGUGCCAGCCGCCGCGGUAACACCAGCAGCCCAAGUGGUGGCCACGAUUAUUGGGCCUAAAGCGCUCGUAGCCGGGUCAGCAAGUCCCUUGUGAAAUCGGGCCGCCUAACGGUUCGGCGUGCAAGGGAUACUGUUGGUCUUGAGGCCGGGAGAGGUCGGAGGUACUCCUGGGGUAGCGGUGAAAUGCUCUAAUCCUGGGGGGACCACCAGUGGCGAAGGCGUCCGACCAGAACGGACCUGACGGUGAGGGGCGAAGGCUAGGGGAGCGAACGGGAUUAGAUACCCCGGUAGUCCCAGCCGUAAACGAUGCGGGCUAGGUGUUGGGGUGGCUACGUGCCACUUCAGUGCCGCAGGGAAGCCAUUAAGCCCGCCGCCUGGGGAGUACGGCCGCAAGGCUGAAACUUAAAGGAAUUG
rnacentral:rRNA from 1 species